AAGAGGUGUAUAAACAACUAGAGCUGCUAACUCUAACGACUAAGAAUAAAAUCCUUAGGCCUCUUAC
rnacentral:tRNA from 1 species